rnacentral:lncRNA from 1 species
GUACACAGGACAGAACAGGAUGAUCUUUCGAGUGCCCUUCUACCUGCAGGGGUAUAUGGUGAGGACAGUUUCCACACCGUAAGUCAACACAAGAUACUGCCACCUUCAGCGGGUCAGGCCACGAGAGGUCAAUGGUGCCUACCUCCCCACUGCUUCCUUCCUCCCUCCUGUCCGCGAUGGUGCGCGCCAGGGCCCCGCGUUACCGCUUCCUUUUCAGGGCUGUCCCGAUACGCAUCCCUUCCAAUAAAUGAAGAUUUCCAUCUCAGUGAACAAAAACAAGUCAACGCACCAACAAAAUGGGCUACCUUCCAGGGUUGGUCUGCUGACAGAUUAAAAAGUGUGUCAACACAGCUUUAUAUUACCAAACAUUGCAAAGCAGAAGCCUUUGUUUGUUUUGUUUUGCUUUGUUCUCCUGGUUUCAUGGUAAUGUCAGUGGACCCACGCCUCCCCCCGUGCAAAGGUAGACGGACCACGUUCUGCUGGCCUGGCCGGGACCUUGAGAUGUCAAAGUGUCAGCGAGUUGCAGCGGUCAGUGUCUCACUCCUGCCAAAUGAAUUGGCCAGGACAGCGACAGCAAGGCUGCAGGAGAACGUGAACGUACGAGAAAAAAAGAAAUGGGAUGGCAGAGGAGGUGGCUUAGAGAAAAUUCUGGAGAAGAGUCAAGGGCUGAGGAACGUGGGGGUGGACACAGGCUCCUGCCCUCCAGUGGAAGAAAGGAGAAGGCUUUCUAGGCAGACGGGGAGCCUGCUGGGAGACUACAAACAUCCCUGAACAGACUUGGGCCAUCCCAAGGGUCAGGAAUGUGCACAGGAGGCGCAAGGGAGAAGGUGGACUUCCACAACCAAGUAAACAUCUUCUGCGUCCUUCCAGACGGUCGUACCCGUGGACAGGAGGGCCCACAGGCAAGGCCUGAAGACUGUCAAGUCCCAGCCGUUGUUUUGUCUGUAUGUUCUCUUGCAUGGCGUUCGUUGUUCUUUGGUGCAUGCAUACGUUGAACUUGCACGCAUGGUCGGUGUUUCCUUUUAUUCUGUUUCGUACUUUUUUUCACCUGCAUUAUUUUUUUAAGAGAAGCAUGAUGUUGGGGCGCCUGGGUGGCGCAGUCGGUUAAGCGUCCGACUUCAGCCAGGUCACGAUCUCGCGGUCCGGGAGUUCGAGCCCCGCGUCGGGCUCUGGGCUGACGGCUCGGAGCCUGGAGCCUGUUUCCGAUUCUGUGUCUCCCUCUCUCUCUGCCCCUCCCCCGUUCAUGCUCUGUCUCUCUCUGUCCCAAAAAUAAAUAAAAAAACGUUGAAAGAAAAAAAAAAGAG